rnacentral:rRNA from 1 species
GAUGAACGCUGGCGGCGUGCCUAAUACAUGCAAGUCGAGCGAACAGACGAGGAGCUUGCUCCUCUGACGUUAGCGGCGGACGGGUGAGUAACACGUGGAUAACCUACCUAUCAGACUGGGAUAACUUCGGGAAACCGGAGCUAAUACCGGAUAAUAUAUUGAACCGCAUGGUUCAAUAGUGAAAGACGGUUUUGCUGUCACUUAUAGAUGGAUCCGCGCCGCAUUAGCUAGUUGGUAAGGUAACGGCUUACCAAGGCGACGAUGCGUAGCCGACCUGAGAGGGUGAUCGGCCACACGGGAACGGAGACACGGUCCAGACUCCUACGGGAGGCAGCAGUAGGGAAUCUUCCGCAAUGGGCGAAAGCCUGACGGAGCAACGCCGCGUGAGUGAUGAAGGUCUUCGGAUCGUAAAACUCUGUUAUGAGGGAAGAACAAAUGUGUAAGUAACUAUGCACGUCGUGACGGUACCUAAUCAGAAAGCCACGGCUAACUACGUG